UGGGGAGUACGGCCGCAAGGUUAAAACUCAAAUGAAUUGACGGGGGCCCGCACAAGCGGUGGAGCAUGUGGUUUAAUUCGAUGCAACGCGAAGAACCUUACCUGGUCUUGACAUCCACGGAAGUUUUCAGAGAUGAGAAUGUGCCUUCGGGAACCGUGAGACAGGUGCUGCAUGGCUGUCGUCAGCUCGUGUUGUGAAAUGUUGGGUUAAGUCCCGCAACGAGCGCAACCCUUAUCCUUUGUUGCCAGCGGUCCGGCCGGGAACUCAAAGGAG
rnacentral:rRNA from 1 species